rnacentral:lncRNA from 1 species
GAUGGGUUUUGCCGGCAUGGGUAAAAUCACCGGAAACGCCAAUCCGGUGUGCAAGAAACGUCGUUAUGGCGCCCGCCGAACGUCGUUAUCAUGCACCCCGCUAAACGUCGUUCCGCCGAAUAUCGCCCCGUUGAACGUCCCACCGAAUGACGCCCCGCCGAACGUCGCGCCGUUUGUUGGGGCGCCAUUACGACAUUCGGCGGGGCGACGUUUGGCUGGCGAUGUUCGGAGGGGCGACGUUCGGCAGGGCGCCAUGACUACGUUUGUCGUUGUGUCGCUGCGACAGAACGAAAUAUCGCAAUGGCACAAAUCAGCCACCAUGACUGACGGAAUAAUCCUUCAUCCACCAUACUUCUUCUGUUCGAAGAUUUUCAGGAGCAUUUCAUGGUGUUUCAGUUUCAUUUCUAGAGUGUUUCAUCACAGUUCUCGACGAGUUUCAGUCUUAUACGGACCAUCGGGGGAGGUAAGAGCCAAGAAUCGGGACUAGGUGGUGGGCAAAGACUCAAUAAUGCAUUAAUAUCUUCAAAUGCGUUUAUUUUAACCCAGAAAUAUUACAAAUGCUAGUUGAUAAAAAGACUGUAAAGAGACCAUUACAAGUUACAUGUAUUGCACAGAGUAACUAUGUGACCAUCAUUUCCUUCAUAACUUCCAAGAUUAUAACUGGUUUUCAACAGGAUGUCUAGUCCAAAUACAAGUAAAAGACGUAAAUUCACUUUCUGUCAGUUAAGAGUUUUUUUUCGUUUUUUGUCAAAUUUCUGUAGAUUAACUUCAUUACUGGUUUUUCAUUAUUUUGUGAUUAUUCUACUUUAUUUUUAUAUAAUUAAACGGUACCAUGUAUUAGCUGUGUUACUAAAUUAUUCAUAUGUCAAAUGAAAAUCGUUAAACCUUGAAAUGGUCAAGAUCUGAGGUCACAAUGUUGGAACGAAGCAAGUAUUUUAACACACUGAUGGAUAGCUUUUAACAAAUCCUGCUGAUUCAAUGUAUGAAAUGUUCAAAAAAAAAUAAAAAUAAAUUCAGCAACAUUUCAUAAUGAGAUCUUCCAUGGAAUUGUUUCAUCCUCUCAGUUUCAUGGCAAA